rnacentral:rRNA from 1 species
GCUCAGAGUAUAAGCCAAUGGAGCUUGGAAGGCUUCCGCAGAUGGUGUCCAUCAUACGUGGUGUUCUUAAGACCUUGAGUGUGGCUCGUCAGGCGACAGAUUGAGUUUGCCGGGUAGCUGUCGUGCGGGGGGUUCGGCUUGGAGGUCUCAGGCUUCGGCCGAAAGGCUUCCGGUUGUCCCCUUUUGAAUGGGCGUUCAGAGCUCUUGUGUCUAAUGCGGUUAUGCCCACCACAGCACGUUGUGAGGUCACCCACAGGCUCAAACUGCCGAUCGCGCAUCCAGGACGAUGGCAACGAUGCGUUGUUGAUGAUGGCUCGAGAGAGACUUCACUCACACGCGUGUCUAGUCCUGGGUCGGGCGGCGACCGAGAUAAACCUGGUAUGAUCCUCUUGCGACGAGCUGCUUUCUGGCCAGACCGACGCCCAGGCACCUCCACUGUGCCGGAAGUGCCAAUCCCAGGCGGUGUGAACCCAGCUGCAUUAUGCAAGGUCUCUCAGCCGGGCGUUGGUCUGAGUGGUGUUAAGUCCAGCACCAUCGGUCACGUCUCGAAACACGGGCCAAGGAGUAUAGCAUGUGUGCAAGUCUAAGGGUCUCACAAAACCCGAAGGCGAAGUGAAAGCAAGACUGUGGCGGGGGAGCUACGGCAAACCCGCCGGCCUAGUGGCGCGUGCGUCGCCUGGCUUUUAGCAGAGCUGAUCCUGUUUUCUCGGUUAAUUCUUGGUGCAGGCGCAAGCUCCGGGCUCACGUACAACUCUGGUCACGCCUCGCG